GGGGCUGCUUGGAUUUGACAGCACGCAGAAAGGGUAUGUAAGCACGUCGAGCGGGGAGAAAACGGCUCGUAAAUCACGGUUCUCAAACAAUUAACUGGCGAAACAAACUACGCUCUUGCUGCUUAAGCCGAAUAAUAGUAAGCUAAGCUUAAUCCCGAUACAAGGUGUUGGGACGAGACAUCUCCCAAAAGCCCUCGCUCCGAGGCUAAUGAUAAGGAGGUGCGGAUAAAUCGGAGAUAGACAUUUUUAGCCUUGUAAAUCUGUUGAAAAUUUAGAGGAUAAGGCAUUGGUAGGUGGCUUUGGUCUUGCCGAUGCUCGAAAACCUAAGCAAAGAUAAACGUGUAGAAAGCAUAUUAGUUCCGUGUUUGGACGAGGGUUCGACUCCCUCCGGCUCCACCA
rnacentral:tmRNA from 1 species